rnacentral:rRNA from 1 species
UGCGGUCAAGCUACUAAGGGUGCAUGGUGGAUGCCUAGGCGUGCAGAGGCGAUGAAGGACGUUGGAGGCUGCGAUAAGCCUCGGGGAGCCGCCAACCAGGCUUUGAUCCGAGGAUUUCCGAAUGGGGCAACCCGGCGUUGCUGGGCAACCAGACAGCGUCACUUCCGGCUGAAUGCAUAGGCCGGACAGAGCGAACCCAGGAAACUGAGACAUCUAAGUACCUGGAGGAAAGGAAAUCAACCGAGACUCCGUCAGUAGCGGCGAGCGAACGCGGACAAGCCCAUGAGCUGCGCGUAGCAGAGUUGAACGGCAUGGAAAGGCCGGCCAUAGAAGGUGACAGCCCUGUAAGCGGACGCGAAGCGCGGCGAUCGAGUAGGUCGGAGCUCGUGAAACUCUGACUGAACAUGCGGGGACCACCCUGCAAGGCUAAGUACUCCUGCACGACCGAUAGUGAAGAAGUAAGGCGACUGAAAGGUGGAAAGAACCCCUGCAAGGGGAGGCAUUGAACCUGAAACCAUGUACCUACAAGCGGUCGGAGGCCGAUUGCGGGCUUGUCCCGCACGGCUGACGGCGUACCUCUUGGAUAAUGGACCGGCGAGUUAACGUUUGCGGCGAGGCUAAGCCCCUCAGGGGUGGAGCCGUAGCGAAAGCGAGUCUGAACAGGGCGCCCAGUCGCAGGUGUUAGACCCGAAACCACGUGAUCUACCCAUGGCCAGGAUGAAGGGCGGGUAAAACCGCCUGGAGGACCGAAGCCGUGAACGUUGAAAAGUUCUGGCAUGAGCUGUGGGGAGGAGUCAAAGUCUAAUCAAACGUGGAGAUAUCUGGUUCUCCCCGAAAUGUCUUUUGGGACAGCCUCGGGCCACUACCUCGCGGGGGUAGAGCUACUGAAUGAGACGGCGGGCCUACCCGGCUACGCCCCUCAAUCAAACUCCGAAUACCGCGAGGACUAUCCCGGGAGUGAGAAUGCGGGCGCUAAUGUCCGUGCUCAAAAGGGAAACAACCCACAUCGCCAGCUAAGGCCCCAAAGCCACGCUCAGUGCAUAAGGAAGUUCGCUUUCCGAGACAGCCAGGAUGUUGGCUUAGAAGCAGCCACCAUUUAAAAAGUGCGUAAUAGCUUACUGGUCGAGAAGGCGGGCGCCGAUAAUGAUCGGGACUAAGCGUGGCGCCGAAGCUGCGGGCGCCGUAAGGCGCGGUAGGGGAGCGUACCACAGGAGAUACAAGCCAUACCGUAAGGAGUGGUGUCGGCCUGUGGUAGUGAGAAUGCCGGUAUGAGUAACGAUAAAGCGGGUGAGAAUCCCGCUCGCCGUAAGCCCAAGGAUUCCUGGGGAAGGUAAAUCCGCCCAGGGUUAGUCGGAGCCUAAGUCGAGGCUGAAAGGCGUAGACGAUGGUCAGCAGGUUAAUAUUCCUGCACUCCGUAUGUAGCCGACGGGGACGUCACUCGAAAGCGUGCAGCGCUACUAGAUCGCGUAGGCCCGCUUUGUUGGCCGUGCACGUGGACGGGUGACCGAGAAAAGCCGCUCGGAGCAAGAAUGCGGAUCCGUACCAAAACUGACACAGGUGGGCGAGGAGAGUAUCCUAACGGCGCUCGAGAGAACGGUCCUUAAGGAACUAGGCAAUUUGACCCCGUAACUUCGGGAUAAGGGGGCCCGUCUCCCUCGGGAGCGGGCGCAGAGAAACGGCUCUGGGAACUGUUUAUCAAAAACACAGCUCUGUGCCAACUCGUAAAGAGGACGUAUACAGAGUGACGCGUGCUCGGUGCCGGAAUGUUAAGGAAGUCGGUUAGCCGCAAGGCGAAGCUGGCGACCGAAGCACCGGUAAACGGCGGCCGUAACUAUGACGGUCCUAAGGUAGCGAAGUUCCUUGUCGGGUAAGUUCCGACGUGCAUGAACCGCGUAAUCACUGGAGCAGUGUCUCAAGGACCGACUCGGUGAAAUUGAAGUCGCGGUGAAGAUACCGUGUACCCGCAGCAAGACGGAAAGACCCCGUGAACCUUCACUGCAGCCUGGUAUUGAUGCCGGCUAUCGCAUGCGUAGGAUAGGUGGGAGGCUUUGAUCCGCCGGUUCCGGCCGGCGGGGAGCCAACGGUGAAAUACCACCCUUGUGCUACUCGUCGUCUAACCCCGUACCGUGAAUCCGGGCGGGGGACAGUGCUAGGUGGGCAGUUUGACUGGGGCGGUCUCCUCCCAAAAGGUAACGGAGGAGUACAAAGGUCGGCUCAGCACGGUUGGCAAUCGUGCGUCGAGUGCAAGGGCACAAGCCGGCUUAACUGUGAGACACAAAGGUCGAACAGAUGCGAAAGCAGGUCCUAGUGAUCCGGUGAUCCCGCGUGGAAGGGUCAUCGCUCAACUGAUAAAAGGUACUCCGGGGAUAACAGGCUGAUGACUACCGAGCGUCCAUAGCGGCGUAGUCGUUUGGCACCUCGAUGUCGGCCCAUCACAUCCUGGGGCUGUAGGCGGUCCCAAGGGUUCGGCUGUUCGCCGAUUAAAGUGGUACGCGAGCUGGGUUCAGACCGGCGUGAGCCAGGUCGGUCCCUAUCUGCUGUGGGCGUGCGAGUCUUGAGAGGCCAUUACUCUAGUACGAGAGGAUUGGGUGGUACAUGCCUCUGGUGUACCUGUUGUCGCGCUAGCGGCACGGCAGGGUAGCUAAGCAUGGAAUGGAUAAACGCUGAAUGCAUCUAAGCGUGAAGCCGUCCUCAAGAUUAGGACUCGUUGCUCCCUUCGGGUGAGCUGAAGACCCCUGGUAGACCACCAGGUUAAUAGGCCGGAUGUGUAAGUGCAGAGAUGCACUCAGCUUACCGGUACUAACGGUCGAAAUGCUUGGCCGCAUUUAUGAU